rnacentral:rRNA from 1 species
UACGUAGGGGGCAAGCGUUGUCCGGAUUUAUUGCGCGUAAAGAGCGUGUAGGCGGCUUUACAGGUCCGUUGUGAAAACUCGAGGCUCAACCUCGAGACGCCGGUGGAAACCGUAAAGCUAGAGUCCGGAAGAGGAGAGUGGAAUUCCUGGUGUAGCGGUGAAAUGCGCAGAUAUCAGGAGGAACACCCGUGGCGAAAGCGGCUCUCUGGGACGGUACUGACGCUGAGACGCGAAAGCGUGGGGAGCAAACAGG